GGGCGUGUAGCUCAGUGGUAGAGCGGUCGGCACUCGUAUCCGGCCUGACGGUGGUUCGAGCCCAUCCCGCCUCCCA
rnacentral:tRNA from 1 species